rnacentral:misc_RNA from 1 species
GUUAAAGAGUUGGUGCUCCUUGUUAUUACUGUUAUUAUUGUUGUCGUUGUUGUUAUAAGCCUUUUUUUUUUCCUUUCCACUUCAAGCCUGAUCUUUGUAGCGUAAUUUUAUGCAGUGAGAAUUAUUUUAUUUCAUCAGCACAAUUAUGUUAGUUAUCAGUGUUUUGAUUGUUUAUAUGUUUCUUUUCUAGUUAUACUGAAAGAUUUG